GAACUGCUGAGGAGUCCCAUAACAUGACGAAACGGACGUCCAGUGC
rnacentral:hammerhead_ribozyme from 1 species